AUUGAACGCUGGCGGCAGGCUUAACACAUGCAAGUCGAACGAGUGUCGGACGGGUGAGUAAUGCUUGGGAAUCUAGCUUAUGGAGGGGGAUAACUACGGGCAACUGUAGCUAAUACCGCGUACCAUAGGAUGAGCCCAAGUGGGCUUAGGUAGUUGGUGAGGUAAAGGCUCACCACGCCGACGAUCUCUAGCUGGUCUGCGAGGAUGACCAGCCACACUGGGAGUGAGAGACGGCCCAGACUCCUACGGGAGGCAGCAGUGGGGAAGAUUGCGCAAUGGGGGCAACCUGACGCAGCCAGGCCGCGUGAAUGAAGAAGGCCUUCGGGUUGUAAAGUUCUUUCGGUAGCGAGGCGUUAACUACAGAAGAAGCACCGGAUAACUCCGUGCCAGCAGCCGCGGUAAUAC
rnacentral:rRNA from 1 species